ACCACCUCUCAGAUUAUGAAGAGGGUGAGACAGAAACCUGAGGGACACUGCUCUCCUGUGGGGCACAGAAGGCAGAACUCAGGGAUGAUCUCCACCAUGGCCUGGUCCCCUCUCCUAUUCAUCCUUUUGGCUCAUUGCACAGGGUCCUGGGCCCAGGCAGUGCUGAGUCAGCCGCCCUCAGUGUCUGGGCCUCUAGAAGGGACGGUCACCAUCUACUGCACUGGAAGCAGCACCAAUUUGGGUUCUGGCUAUUAUGCCCACUGGUACCAGCAGCUCUCAGGAAUGUCUCCCAAACUCAUCAUUUAUGAAAAUAGCAAUCGACCCUCAGGGAUCUCUGGUCGAUACUCUGGCUCCAAAUCUGGCAACUCAGCCUCCCUGACUAUCAGUGGGCUCCAACCUGAGGAUGAGGCUGAUUAUUACUGUCAAUCCUAUGAUAAAAGCUUUGAUGCUCACACAGUGCUCCAGCUUCAUGGGGAAGUUAAGACAAAAACAUCUUCCUCUUCUUCCAGAAGAGUGAACACUGAGGGCCUGUGGCUUAGGCUCGACCUCUCAUUUCUACUUUGGCUUCUAGUGUAG